CUGAUGGCGACCGGCGCACGGGUGAGUAACACGUAUCCAACCUGCCGAUAACUCGGGGAUAGCCUUUCGAAAGAAAGAUUAAUACCCGAUGGUAUAAUCAGACCGCAUGGUCUUGUUAUUAAAGAAUUUCGGUUAUCGAUGGGGAUGCGUUCCAUUAGGCAGUUGGUGAGGUAACGGCUCACCAAACCUUCGAUGGAUAGGGGUUCUGAGAGGAAGGUCCCCCACAUUGGAACUGAGACACGGUCCAA
rnacentral:rRNA from 1 species